rnacentral:rRNA from 1 species
GAAUAUUGGACAAUGGGCGCAAGCCUGAUCCAGCAAUGCCGCGUGAGUGAGGAAGGCCUUAGGGUUGUAAAGCUCUUUCACCCGCGACGAUGAUGACGGUAGCGGGAGACGAAGCCCCGGCUAACUUCGUGCCAGCAGCCGCGGUAAUACGAAGGGGGCGAGCGUUGUUCGGAUUUACUGGGCGUAAAGGGCGCGCAGGCGGCUUGUUUUGUCAGGCGUGAAAGCCCCGGGCUUAACCUGGGAACUGCGUUUGAUACGGACGGGCUAGAGUUCGGGAGAGGAGAGUGGAAUUCCCAGUGUAGAGGUGAAAUUCGUAGAUAUUGGGAAGAACACCGGUGGCGAAGGCGGCUCUCUGGACCGAGACUGACGCUGAGGCGCGAAAGCGUGGGGAGCAAACAGG